AUUGAACGCUGGCGGCAGGCCUAACACAUGCCAGUCGAACGGUAACAGGAAGCAGCUUGCUGCUUUGCUGACGAGUGGCGGACGGGUGAGUAAUGUCUGGGAAACUGCCUGAUGGAGGGGGAUAACUACUGGAAACGGUAGCUAAUACCGCAUAACGUCGCAAGACCAAAGAGGGGGACCUUCGGGCCUCUUGCCAUCGGAUGUGCCCAGAUGGGAUUCGCUAGUAGGUGGGGUAACGGCUCACCUAGGCGACGAUCCCUAGCUGGUCUGAGAGGAUGACCAGCCACACUGGAACUGAGACACGGUCCAGACUCCUACGGGAGGCAGCAGUGGGGAAUAUUGCACAAUGGGCGCAAGCCUGAUGCAGCCAUGCCGCGUGUAUGAAGAAGGCCUUCGGGUUGUAAAGUACUUUCAGCGGGGAGGAAGGGAGUAAAGUUAAUACCUUUGCUCAUUGACGUUACCCGCAGAAGAAGCACCGGCUAACUCCGUG
rnacentral:rRNA from 1 species